rnacentral:rRNA from 1 species
AGAGCGAACGCUGGCGGCAGGCCUAAUACAUGCAAGUCGAACGGAUCCUUCGGGAUUAGUGGCGGACGGGUGAGUAACACGUGGGAACGUACCCUUUGGUUCGGAACAACUCAGGGAAACUUGAGCUAAUACCGAAUGUGCCCUUCGGGGAAAAGAUUUAUCGCCAUUGGAGCGGCCCGCGUCUGAUUAGCUAGUUGGUAGGGUAAAGGCCUACCAAGGCUACGAUCAGUAGCUGGUCUGAGAGGAUGAUCAGCCACACUGGGACUGAGACACGGCCCAGACUCCUACGGGAGGCAGCAGUAGGGAAUCUUGCGCAAUGGGCGAAAGCCUGACGCAGCCAUGCCGCGUGAAUGAUGAAGGUCUUAGGAUUUGUAAAAUUUCUUUCAGCGGGGACGAUAAUGACGGUACCCGCAGAAGAACGCCCCGGCUAACUUCGUGCCAGCAGCCGC